rnacentral:rRNA from 1 species
UACGUAGGGGGCAAGCGUUGUCCGGAAUCAUUGGGCGUAAAGAGCGUGUAGGCGGCUCGAUAAGUCUGCUGUGAAAGUCCAGGGCUCAACCCUGGAAGGCCGGUGGAAACUGUCGGGCUAGAGUCCGGAAGAGGCGAGUGGAAUUCCUGGUGUAGCGGUGAAAUGCGCAGAUAUCAGGAAGAACACCAACGGCGAAGGCAGCUCGCUGGGACGGUACUGACGCUGAGACGCGAAAGCCAGGGGAGCAAACGGG